rnacentral:piRNA from 1 species
UACCUCGUCACUUCUUUGGAACAUCUCUU